UUCUUCUCUGUUCGUUUCCUGUUGUUUUUAAGAGUCGAGAGAGAGAUUCUGAGAUUGAGAUAAGAAGAGGUUAAGCAAGAAUAAAGUGAUGUUGGUGAUGAUUCAGAAUCGAUAAAAAAAGUUAAUCUUCAUUAACAACGAUCGAUCUAAAAGAUGAACCAGUGGAUUGAGGAUUUCAAGGUAGUAGUGGCUUUCCUUCAGAAUCGGGUGGGAACUCUUGUAACCUUCUUGUAAUCAUUAAGUUUCUUUUCAACAACGAGCAUGAUGUGCCUUUACUUCUCGUUAGAAUAUUUGUGUGUAAUCAAGUGGGUAUGAGUUAUGAUAUGUGUUACCUAGUAUCCUCGCAGGGAGUGUCUAUGGAUUUCCCACGUCUCCUUGCUAAGUCUUAUUCAGCACGGGAAGUGUAAAUAUUAUAUAGCACGGGAAGUGCAAUAUAGCUAUAUCAGCACAAGGGUGUAAAUAUUAUUACUUUUUAUUUUAUAUCGUAAAAUUAUGUUUUUAUUCA